AAUUUAACCUACCCCCACAGCUCAAAACUCAAAAAAUCCCAAAUCAAGAAACUACUUUGAGAGAUCUAAGGAUAAACACAAAAAACUGGAAAAAAAAAUAACAGAUCUAAAAACUCAAUUGAUUUAAAGAUUUAUGGGCUAGGAUUUAUGGGCUAGGGUUUUUUGAAAGAUUAUUAAUUAAGAUUUCAAAUCAGGAAACAAUGAAGAUUAUGAAUAUGAAGGGGAAAAAAAUGAUUUUUUUAAUUUUAUUAUUGAUUUCGCGGGUAUGACAGAGAGGAAAGAGAGA